rnacentral:sRNA from 1 species
UCGCAUGAUCUUGGUGGCCAAUUCACGUC